CAGCAGUGGGAGGUGCUGUGUCUCGAAGCAAUGAGGUUUGGAGACCGCGGAGGGUACUGGUUACAACCUACCCACGCCUCAGGAUAGAGACUGCAGAAAUUGUGAAAUUUCCGGAUGAAAAUUGAGUGAUCUUAAACCUGCCCCAUUCGUUGAAAAUCUACCUUAGGUAUGUUACUUAAAACUUCCUGGCCAAUACAUUUUACUUCGUGUAUUGACCUGGGAUAUAUAAAAACUGCACAACCCUUGGCAUACGAGAUAGGUACUCAGUUAAAAAGAAGUCUAAAAGUACCUGAGAUUUCUUUGCUCCAUCGAUAUUAUAUUCUCCCUUGGACCUUGAGCUCCUUGUGCCAUGUUACGAUUUGGUUGAUUGUGCCACCAUAAUCUGAGCACCUCAAGAGCAAGCAGGAGCUUGUUUUUUUCUGAGGAUCUGUGGGCCCUUGUAGAGUAUUGCUCAUAAAAGGAGGAUUAGGUGAAUGAGACGAAAGAAGAGCUGUUUAGAGAGCAAAGGAGUCUUGUGGCUCCAUCAGUCAGGACAAUUGAGAAUCAAAGUCUUGGACCAAACCUCCGAAGACCUGUUUCAGGUCUCCCCUUCGCAACCUCUUUCCUCACUUAUAAAGCAGGAGGGGAAACAGUCUCACUAAUUAUUUUCUAAAGUUUUGAGGAUCCUAUAAAAGCUCUUACCAAGGUUGCUUGGAAAAAUCAUUGAGCUUUAUCUAGGGAGAAAGUGGUAUUCAAGAUAAAGGGGGAAAACUUCAUAGAAGAGGUGAGCAGGAAAAGACUCCACUACCCCCACUCCUUCGCUGAGAGAGAUUUAUCUGAUGUCAAAAUCGUGGCUUGUCAACGAACCAGAAAAUAAAAACAGGUCCUCAUAUUCGGAGGUGCAAAGUCAGCGUACAUCCCAAUUGGAAAGUUUCCAAGGAGGAAGCUGAGGUCAUUGGUGUAAGAUGAUCUUCUCCUCCCUAUAUGAGUUUAGCGCUAUGAAUUUCCCACCAAGUACUGCUUUAACUAUAUCCCACAGAUUUUGAAACAUUGUUCAUUAUUUUAGUUCAGUUCAAAAUACUUUUAAAUUCUCUCUGCUUUUUUCUUUGACCUGUGGGUUAUUUAAAAGUGUGUUACUUUCCUGAGCUUCCCUGGUGGCACAGUGGUUAAGAAUCCACCUGCCAAUGCAGGGAACAUGGGUUCGAGCCCUGGUCCGGGAAGAUCCCACAGGCCGAGGAGCAGCUAAGCCCGUGCGCCACAACUACAGAGCUUGUGCCCUAGAGCCCACGAGCCACAACUACUGAGCCCACGUGCCAAAACUACUGGAGGCCACAUGCCCGGAGCCCGUGCUCUGCGACAAGAGAAGCCAUCUCAAUGAGAAGCACGUGCACCACAACGAAGAGUAGCCCCCACUCGCCACAACUACAGAAAGCCCAUGCACAGCAAUGAAGACCCAACACAGCCAUAAAUAAAUAAAUAAAUAAAUAAAUAAAAAAGCAUACCUUGGAGACUGGCUUCGGUCCAGACCACUGUAAUAAAGCAGAUAUCACAAUAAAGCAAAUCACACGAAUUUUUUGGCUUCCCAGUGCAUAUAAAAGUUACAUUUACACUGUACUGUAGUCUAUUAAGUGUGCAAUAGUAUUAUGUCUUUAAAAACAAUGUACAUGCCUUAAUUUUAAAAUAUGUUAUUGCUAAAAAAUGCUAACCAUCAUCUGAGUCUUCAGUGAGUUGUAAUCUUUAUCAGGUGCAGGGUUUGAAAUAUUGCAAGAAUUACCAAAAUGUGACACAGAGGCGUGAAGAGAGCAAAUACUGUUGGGAAA